AGGCUGACUCCCAUGGUCUGAGGCAGAGCGGGGAGCCUGGAGCCUUGGGUGGGGUCACCUGCCUCUCUUCUUACUGGUUAAGCCACCAGCGAUGACUAGUGCCUACUUCCUUCAGAGAGGAAUCUGACGGCUGUGGCAGGAAAGUCAGGGGCAAGAAUUGUUGCACAGAUAUGCUAAUAUCUCAGUUCUGCCACUUUCUGUAAUCUCGGGUGGUGAUCUAAUCUGUCUAAGGUCUAUUUUCCCAUCUGUAAUGGGGAAAAAAAUCAUCCCUGGAGUUAUUGGCAGGAUUAAAUGAGGUGAUAUUAGUAAUGCAAUAGUCACCACCAUGCCCCCACGAAAACUAACAUUCAUUGAGACCUUAUUGUGUUGGGCAUUGUGCUCAGGACUUCAAAUGGGUGACUUCAUUACAUCCUCACCAUCACCUGCCCAGGUAGGCAUCAUGUAUUACCUGCAACUUACAGAUAAGGAAACCGUCUUAGAGAGGUUAUGCAACUUGCCCUGCCAAAAUUGAACCCAUUGUGAAUAUACAGUAGAUAAAAAAAAUAAUAAAAAUAAAAUGAAAUUAAAAAUUGUGGCUGGGCAGGGCGGCUCACACCUGUAAUCCUAGUACUUUGGGAGGCCGACACGGGUGGGUCACCUGAGGUCAGGAGUUUGAAACCAGCCUGGCCAACAUGGUGCUCAAAAAAAAAAAAAAAAAAAAAAAAAAAUUGAACCCAGCAGUCUGACCCCAGAGGAGCCUGGUCUCUGGUCUCUUAACCCCUGCAUUGUAAUAGUC
rnacentral:lncRNA from 1 species